AUACAUGCAAGUCGAACGAGUUCUGAUUAUUGAAAGGUGCUUGCAUCUUGAUUUAAUUUUGAACGAGUGGCGGACGGGUGAGUAACACGUGGGUAACCUGCCCUUAAGUGGGGGAUAACAUUUGGAAACAGAUGCUAAUACCGCAUAAAUCCAAGAACCGCAUGGUUCUUGGCUGAAAGAUGGCGUAAGCUAUCGCUUUUGGAUGGACCCGCGGCGUAUUAGCUAGUUGGUGAGGUAACGGCUCACCAAGGCAAUGAUACGUAGCCGAACUGAGAGGUUGAUCGGCCACAUUGGGACUGAGACACGGCCCAAACUCCUACGGGAGGCAGCAGUAGGGAAUCUUCCACAAUGGACGCAAGUCUGAUGGAGCAACGCCGCGUGAGUGAAGAAGGCUUUCGGGUCGUAAAACUCUGUUGUUGGAGAAGAAUGGUCGGCAGAGUAACUGUUGUCGGCGUGACGGUAUCCAACCAGAAAGCCACGGCUAACUACGUGCCAGCAGCCGCGGUAAUACGUAGGUGGCAAGCGUUAUCCGGAUUUAUUGGGCGUAAAGCGAGCGCAGGCGGUUUUUUAAGUCUGAUGUGAAAGCCCUCGGCUUAACCGAGGAAGUGCAUCGGAAACUGGGAAACUUGAGUGCAGAAGAGGACAGUGGAACUCCAUGUGUAGCGGUGAAAUGCGUAGAUAUAUGGAAGAACACCAGUGGCGAAGGCGGCUGUCUGGUCUGUAACUGACGCUGAGGCUCGAAAGCAUGGGUAGCGAACAGGAUUAGAUACCCUGGUAGUCCAUGCCGUAAACGAUGAAUGCUAGGUGUUGGAGGGUUUCCGCCCUUCAGUGCCGCAGCUAACGCAUUAAGCAUUCCGCCUGGGGAGUACGACCGCAAGGUUGAAACUCAAAGGAAUUGACGGGGGCCCGCACAAGCGGUGGAGCAUGUGGUUUAAUUCGAAGCAACGCGAAGAACCUUACCAGGUCUUGACAUCUUUUGAUCACCUGAGAGAUCAGGUUUCCCCUUCGGGGGCAAAAUGACAGGUGGUGCAUGGUUGUCGUCAGCUCGUGUCGUGAGAUGUUGGGUUAAGUCCCGCAACGAGCGCAACCCUUAUGACUAGUUGCCAGCAUUUAGUUGGGCACUCUAGUAAGACUGCCGGUGACAAACCGGAGGAAGGUGGGGAUGACGUCAAAUCAUCAUGCCCCUUAUGACCUGGGCUACACACGUGCUACAAUGGAUGGUACAACGAGUUGCGAGACCGCGAGGUCAAGCUAAUCUCUUAAAGCCAUUCUCAGUUCGGACUGUAGGCUGCAACUCGCCUACACGAAGUCGGAAUCGCUAGUAAUCGCGGAUCAGCACGCCGCGGUGAAUACGUUCCCGGGCCUUGUACACACCGCCCGUCACACCAUGAGAGUUUGUAACACCCGAAGCCGGUGGCGUAACCCUUUUAGGGAGCGAGCCGUCUAAGGUGGGACAAAUGAU
rnacentral:rRNA from 2 species